UACGAAGGGGGCUAGCGUUGCUCGGAAUCACUGGGCGUAAAGCGCACGUAGGCGGAUUGCUAAGUCAGGGGUGAAAUCCUGGAGCUCAACUCCAGAACUGCCUUUGAUACUGGCGAUCUUGAGUCCGGGAGAGGUGAGUGGAACUGCGAGUGUAGAGGUGGAAUUCGUAGAUAUUAGGAAGAACACCAGUGGCGAAGGCGGCUCACUGGUCCGGUACUGACGCUGAGGAGCGAAAGCCAGGGGAGCAAACGGG
rnacentral:rRNA from 1 species